rnacentral:lncRNA from 1 species
CAAGUAACCUGAAAUCUUGGGGCUUUAUUACCAAAAAGCACAAGGCUACAAGGGAGCUGAAAAUAUGAUAGUUCUGGGAGAAACAGCGUUUAGGAUCCACAGCAGCUCUAGAGAACAGGAAGGUGUCUUGCCAUGUUGCCCAGGCUGGUCUCAAACUCCUGAGCUCAAGCGGUCCUCCCACCUGGGCCUCCCAAAAUGUUGGGAUUACAGGUAUGAGCCAUUGCGCCUGGUGAGAUGAGAUUUAAGACAGGUUUGAGGGUAAAUUUUAAAACUGG